GCGUGUGGCCUCACCGACUUGGAAGCGUGAACCCCGCCAGGCCCGAGAGGGAGCAACGGUAGCGUGGAAGAGUGUGGUGGGGCUUUGACCUUU
rnacentral:SRP_RNA from 1 species